GGGGUCUUGUGUUUGAAUCCCUGCGUGAGCAUGGAUGUUAUUUUUGCUCAGUUGCAUAAGAGAGUUUGGGUGGAGUUCGAAUUCUGAGUUAGUUGUUUUUAGUGGGAUAGUGAGGAGGGAUUUUUGGGAUAUCUUUUUUAUUUUUAUUUUCUUUUUCAAAAUUCCUCUCUUUCUAAGAAAACUGACGUCAAAUUCUCUUUCGCUUUUCUCUGUUCAUUUAUUCCUCACUUUUUUGUUACUUCCUCUAUUUUGUUUCGAUCCAUCAACGAAUCUUGGGAUUUUGUUAUUUUUUUCCUUUCGAUUGUUUGUG
rnacentral:lncRNA from 1 species